CGUUUCCUACGGGGGGCAGCAGUGAGGAAUAUUGGUCAAUGGCCGCAGGGCUGAACCAGCCAAGUCGCGUGAGGGAUGACGGUCCUAUGGAUUGUAAACCUCUUUUGUCAGGGAGCAAAGGGCGCCACGUGUGGCGUUUUGCGAGUACCUGAAGAAAAAGCAUCGGCUAACUCCGUGCCAGCAGCCGCGGUAAUACGGAGGAUGCGAGCGUUAUCCGGAUUUACUGGGUGUAAAGGGAGCGUAGACGGUUAUGUAAGUCUGGAGUGAAAGCCCGGGGCCCAACCCCGGGACUGCUUUGGAAACUU
rnacentral:rRNA from 1 species